UACGGAGGGUGCAAACGUUGCUCGGAAUCAUUGGGCGUAAAGCGCACGUAGGCGGUCGGCUAUGUCGGAUGUGAAAGCCUCGGGCUUAACCCGAGAAGGGCAUCCGAAACUGGCCGGCUUGAGUAUGGAAGAGGGUCUCGGAAUUCCCGGUGUAGAGGUGAAAUGCGUAGAUAUCGUUUGGAACGCCAAUGGUGAAAACAGGUAACUGGGGACACGCUGACACUGAGACACGAAAGCCAGGGGAGCAAACGGG
rnacentral:rRNA from 1 species